rnacentral:rRNA from 1 species
UACGGAGGAUGCAAGCGUUAUCCGGAAUGAUUGGGCGUAAAGCGUCCGCAGGGGGCUGUGUAAGUCUGCUGUUAAAGAGUGAGGCUCAACCUCAUAAAGGCAGUGGAAACUACAUGGCUAGAGUGCGUUCGGGGCAGAGGGAAUUCCUGGUGUAGCGGUGAAAUGCGUAGAGAUCAGGAGGAACACCGGUGGCGAAAGCGCUCUGCUGGACCUUAACUGACACUGAGGGACGAAAGCUAGGGGAGCGAAUGGG